AUGCAGUCGAGGGGCAGCACGGUAGCAAUACUGGUGGCGACCGGCAAACGGGUGCGGAACACGUACGCAACCUUCCUUUAAGAGAUGAAUAGCCCGGAGAAAUCCGGAUUAAUGCAUCGUAAGAUUGUGGGAUGGCAUCAUCCAGCAAUUAAAGAUUUAUUUCGCUUAAAGAUGGGCGUGCGCCUGAUUAGGUAGUUGGUGAGGUAACGGCUCACCAAGCCGACGAUCAGUAACUGGCGUGAGAGCGCGACCAGUCACACGGGCACUGAGACACGGGCCCGACUCCUACGGGAGGCAGCAGUAAGGAAUAUUGGUCAAUGGACGGAAGUCUGAACCAGCCAUGCCGCGUGAAGGAUGAAAGCCCUCUGGGUUGUAAACUUCUUUUAUCUGGGAAGAAAUCACCUUUUUCUAAGGGUGUUGACGGUACCAGAGGAAUAAGCACCGGCUAACUCCGUGCCAGCAGCCGCGGUAAUACGGAGGGUGCAAGCGUUAUCCGGAUUCACUGGGUUUAAAGGGUGCGUAGGCGGAUUAGUAAGUCCGUGGUGAAAUCUCCAAGCUUAACUUGGAAACUGCCAUGGAUACUAUUAGUCUUGAAUGUUGUGGAGGUUAGCGGAAUAUGUCAUGUAGCGGUGAA
rnacentral:rRNA from 2 species